rnacentral:rRNA from 1 species
CCUACGGGAGGCAGCAGUGGGGAAUAUUGCACAAUGGGGGAAACCCUGAUGCAGCGACGCCGCGUGAGUGAAGAAGUAAUUCGUUACGUAAAGCUCUAUCAGCAGGGAAGAAACACUGACCUUACGGUCAGCAGACGGUACCUGAGUAAGAAGCCCCGGCUAACUACGUGCCAGCAGCCGCGGUAAUACGCAGGGGGCAAGCGUUAUCCGGAGUUACUGGGGGUAAAGGGAGCGUAGACGGUGCUCCAAGUCUGGAGGGAAAUGCCGCAGCUUAACUGCGGAACUGCUUUGGAAACUGGCGAACUAGAGUGCGGGAGGGGUAAGCGGAAUUCCUGGUGUAGCGGUGAAAUGCGUAGAUAUUAGGCGGAACACCGGUGGCGAAGGCGGCUUACUGGACCGUAACUGACGUUGAGGCUCGAAAGCGUGGGGAGCAAACAGGAUUAGAUACCCCGGUAGUC